rnacentral:rRNA from 1 species
CCCAGACUCCUACGGGAGGCAGCAGUGAGGAAUAUUGGUCAAUGGGCUUACGCCUGAACCAGCCAAGUCGCGUGAGGGAAGACUGCCCUAUGGAUUGUAAACCUCUUUUGUCAGGGAGCAAAGUCACCCACGUGUGGGUGUUGGAGAGUACCUGAAGAAAAAGCAUCGGCUAACUCCGUGCCAGCAGCCGCGGUAAUACGGAGGAUGCGAGCGUUAUCCGGAUUUAUUGGGUUUAAAGGGUGCGUAGGUGGAUUGUUAAGUCAGUUGUGAAAGUUUGCGGCUCAACCGUAAAAUUGCAGUUGAAACUGGCAGUCUUGAGUACAGUAGAGGUGGGCGGAAUUCGUGGUGUAGCGGUGAAAUGCUUAGAUAUCACGAAGAACUCCGAUUGCGAAGGCAGCUCACUGGACUGCAACUGACACUGAGGCUCGAAAGUGUGGGUAUCAAACAGGAUUAGAUACCCUUGUAAU